rnacentral:rRNA from 1 species
GACGAACGCUGGCGGCGUGCUUAACACAUGCAAGUCGAGCGGGGAUACGAGGGAGCUUGCUCCUGAGUAUUCUAGCGGCGGACGGGUGAGUAACGCGUGAGCAACCUUUCUCUCAGUGGGGAAUAACACAGGGAAACUUGUACUAAUACCGCAUGAGACCACAGAGUCGCAUGACUUAGGGGUCAAAGAUUUAUUGCUGAGAGGUGGGCUCGCGUCUGAUUAGGUAGUUGGUGAGGUAACGGCCCACCAAGCCGACGAUUAGUAGCCGACCUGAGAGAGUGAUCGGCCACAUUGGGACUGAGACACGGCCCAAACUCCUACGGGAGGCAGCAGUGGGGAAUAUUGGGCAAUGGGGGAAACCCUGACCCAGCAACGCCGCGUGGAGGAAGAAGGUUUUCGGAUCGUAAACUCCUGUCCUCAGGGAAGAGCAGAAGACGGUACCUGAGGAGGAAGCCCCGGCUAACUACGUGCCAGCAGCCGCCGUAACAC